GAAGACUGUGAAUUUGCUAACUUGGUGUCAUACCCUAAUUUUGUCCGGCCAUUUGUGGUUUACCCAUGAGAUCUCUUUGUUUCAAAGGCCCAUUUGCAUAAGCGUGUUCAUAAUCUAAAAUGUGGUUUGAGUUUUUUUACAUUACUAAUCCAAAAUCUAUUUUCUUAUUAGUAAGUAUUAUGAGCCAUGUUAUUAUUUCUAUGAUCACUAUUUACUAGUCCAUUUACA
rnacentral:lncRNA from 1 species